rnacentral:lncRNA from 1 species
GAAGAUUAGAUUAGAAAUUAAUUGGAAGCUAAGAAAACUAAAAGCGGAAGGCAAUCUUUUCAAAUAAUGAAUGGUGGACAUACAUUUAGAAAACAAAGAUUUGGUGAUGGCAAUUGCACAUGCAUGGCUUCACAAUUUUGAAAAGCAAUUUCAAGGAACCCGUGAGCUUCCAAUUUCAAGAGGGAAACAAACUUACGGCUUAUAGUGUUGACAAGUAAUGGUGGCAUUAAUUGGGAAAGUUGACUUUAGAAUGAAAAUUGAAUCCUAAUUGAAUCCAGCCAAUAAAGUGUAUGGGAUUUGGCCAAUAAUUGCAUGGCCUGGGUAUUAUAUAAAGGUGAGCUGGAGACGAAAAAAAGGGGGGCAAAAAGAGGAGCAUUUGGCUGAGAAGAAAAUAACAGCAGCAACAAUUCGGCUUCUCGU